UGGGGAAUAUUGGACAAUGGGGGCAACCCUGAUCCAGCAAUGCCGCGUGUGUGAAGAAGGUCUUCGGAUUGUAAAGCACUUUCGACGGGGACGAUGAUGACGGUACCCGUAGAAGAAGCCCCGGCUAACUUCGUGCCAGCAGCCGCGGUAAUACGAAGGGGGCUAGCGUUGCUCGGAAUGACUGGGCGUAAAGGGCGUGUAGGCGGUUUACACAGUCAGAUGUGAAAUCCCCGGGCUUAACCUGGGAGCUGCAUUUGAUACGUGUAGACUAGAGUGUGAGAGAGGGUUGUGGAAUUCCCAGUGUAGAGGUGAAAUUCGUAGAUAUUGGGAAGAACACCGGUGGCGAAGGCGGCAACCUGGCUCAUGACUGACGCUGAGGCGCGAAAGCGUGGGGAGCAAACAGGAUUAGAUACCCUGGUA
rnacentral:rRNA from 1 species